CGGCAGUUGUGAUGGAGCGGGAUUCAGAUUCUGCCAGGUGCUUAGCAGUACUCAGCUGUUGGCAGGGGUAGUAUGACGUCGAGUAGAUUUGGAGGACGUGGCACAGUCGAUGACCAACGAAUUAGGGACUGGGUGUUUAAAGAGGGGAUUCCAUGGUACUCACAAG